GUCACACCUAGCCAUCAAUUUCCUGUCAUGUGCACCUGUGGAAAAUAACACACUUGGGUGCUUUAUUUAUUGUAUUUUAUAAAUCUGCAAUCAUCUCAAGAAUCUUUUCGUCUACUUGGAAUUUCCUGAAACGCCACAAAAUGACAUUUAUUUUGUCGGAUUUGUGUCGGAUUUAAGCUAACGUUAACUAGUUAACUGUUAGGCAUCUGCUAGCCAGGAAUGUUUACCUGUGUGUCUGGGUUUGAUCAGAUGUAUUUUAUGUCAACUAUGACGAUUAUGCAUUUAUGAAGCUAAAUUAUAUCUAAAUAGUUAUAAAAUGUAUUACAUGAAAUAUAAUCAGAAUAAAUCUAACUAACGUUAGCAAAUGUUGGUACAGUCAUUCUAGCUAGCUACACCCUGCCUACCAGUUCCAGGUGUGUACUUCCUUGGUAGAUAUGCCCAAAAGAAAAUCCGAGAUAUACAGGAGCGUGAGGCAUCAGUAUAUCGCUCAAGCCCGAAGUCAGUUCCACUUCGAGAGUAACCAGAGAUCGUGCAACAUGACAGGUAGGCUACAGAUAGUCAUCUCACCUUUAGCCUAUUAACAGUAACAGUCCCUGAAAUCUCAUGCAACACUCAUUAUGUCAAAUAAUUGCGAUACUGCCGUGUUGAUGAUUCAUACUCAUAUUUGUGCAGUUUGAAACCCUGUUGAUGUUUUUUAUUUACAGUGUUGUCAAUGCUCCCUACCUUAAGAGAAGAGCAAGUACGUGGUCAUGACUUGAUUGCUCAGCAAAAUUAUUAGUUUAUGAAUGACAUCACCUAUUUCUCUUCUAGACCAGCAAAUAAACUUGAAAUAUGAGGACCUGAAAAUGAUCAGUAAAUUAUUAUUCUUCAACAUUAAUUACUUUGAAUCAAUAACUAAAGUGAUUUAAUCGCUUGAUGUACUGCUAUCUGUCAUAUGGCAAUCACUCCUCUUUUCCCAUUCCCCCAGGUUUCACCCGAAGUGUCGUGGCUGUGCACAGUACCUGUAUGUUGAUUGUUUUACAUCGUGUUUAGCUCAAUAUCAUUGGUGGCUACUUAUACAUGGACAAUUCUGUCAGCAAGAAUUGAAUGAUGCCUUUGGCCCCUCCGGAUGUGCAACAACAGUACCUCUCCAGCAUCCAGCAACUCCUUGGGGAUGGGUUGAGUGAGAUGAUAACGGCGGUGAAGAAAGCAGAAUACAUUAGGCGGGGUGUCCCUGAAGCAGAGUCUGUCCCUGCAGGAGCUGGAGCAGCACCUGAAUCAGGUCAGAGCCCAGGUGGAGGAGUGGGAUGGGGGCUCCACAUAUAGACGUCUCUCCUGGUACAUGAUGCCUGAUGAGGAGAAUACUCUGGCUGCACAGGCCUGUGGUCUGACGGAGAAUGAUAUCAGUAAGAUAAAGCUGCUCAAUGAGACCAGAGAUGUGCUUGAAAGCCCGGACUUUGGGCUUGACAACAUGGUAGAGUUCCCCACCGAGAGCACAGGAAGACUCCGCCCCCAGCACUACACCUGAUGGACUCUCGAAUUUAAGUCUACCAGUUGCCAAAAUAAUCCAGCUUGUGAAUGGACAGAUCCACUCGAUCUACAGUGAAAUACCAAGUCGCUUUGUACAGGAUCUCCUGAUGAUAGACCAAGUGAAGGAGUUUACUGCCAAUGUGUAUGAGACAUUCAGCACCUCCCAUGAACUGAAAUAAGGGAGUGGACAUAUUACUGGUAGACCUGGACCUCUCGGCAUGUCUGCAUGACGCUGUGGACAUCACAGAUGGAGGAACAAAUGCACUUAUUCUCUGUACCAAGUCACAAAACUCAAGAGGAUCGGGUCCUUGGAAAGUUACUGUUCCCUGUCCUUGGUGGGAGAACUGUGUUCCAUUGUGGACUGUAGGGUUGUAAACUGCUGCUGCCUUUACCUGGACACUUCAAGGUCAAAGACCCACUGCAUCUUCUGUUGUUCUGCCCCUGAACAAGGCAGUUAACCCACUGUUCCCCGGUAGGCCGUCAUUGUAAAUAAGAAUUUGUUCUUAACUGACUUGCCUAGUUAAAUAAAGGUUCAAUCUUAAGAACUUGAGUUUUUGUCCUACCUUUACUGAUCUGUUCCCCCAAUGCUUAAAAAGUCAGCCAGACAACCCUCCCUGAAUCAGGUAAUUUUCCUGUGCC